rnacentral:rRNA from 1 species
UACAGAGGUCUCAAGCGUUGUUCGGAUUCAUUGGGCGUAAAGGGUGCGUAGGCGGCGCGGUAAGUCGGGUGUGAAAUCUCGGAGCUUAACUCCGAAACUGCAUUCGAUACUGCCGUGCUUGAGGACUGGAGAGGAGACUGGAAUUUACGGUGUAGCGGUGAAAUGCGUAGAUAUCGUAAGGAAGACCAGUGGCGAAGGCGGGUCUCUGGGCCGAAAUUGACGCUGAGGAGCGAAAGCGUGGGGAGCGAACAGG